rnacentral:rRNA from 1 species
UUCCGGUUGAUCCUGCCGGACCCCACUGCUAUCGGGAUAGGACUAAGACAUGCUAGUCAAGCGCUUUCUAGCUAAUAUGAAAGUGCGGCAUACAGCUCAGUAACACGUGGCCAACCUGCCCUUGGGACGGAGACAACCCCGGGAAACUGGGGUUAAUUUCCGAUAGGUGAAAAAUUCUGGAAUGAAUUUUCGCCCAAAAGACAUCUAUGUUAUGCUCAUAUUUGUUGCCCAGGGAUGGGGCCGCGACCGAUCAGGUUGUUGGUGAGGUAAUGGCUCACCAAGCCUUUUACCGGUACGGGCCGUGAGAGCGGGAGCCCGGAGAUGGGCACUGAGACAAGGGCCCAGGCCCUACGGGGCGCAGCAGUCGCGAAAACUUUGCAAUACACGAAAGUGUGACAAGGCUAUCCCGAGUGCCAUCCGCUGAGGGAGGCUUUUACCCAGUAUAAAUAGCUGGGAGAAUAAGGAGAGGGCAAGUCUGGUGUCAGCCGCCGCGGUAAUACCAGCUCUCCGAGUAGUGUGGAUGUUUAUUGGGCCUAAAGCAUCCGUAGCUUGCUAAGCAAGUCCCCUGUUAAAUCCACCGAUUCAAUCGGUGGAUUGCGGGGGAUACUGUUUGGCUAGGGGACGGGAGAGGCCGACGGUAUUUCCGGGGUAGGGGUGAAAUCCUAUAAUCCCGGGAAGACCACCAGUGGCGAAGGCUGUCGGCUAGAACGCGCCCGACGGUGAGGGAUGAAAGCUGGGGGAGCGAACCGGAUUAGAUACCCGGGUAGUCCCAGCUGUAACGAUGCAGGCACGGUUUUGGGCGGCCACGAGCCGCCCUAGUGCCGCAGGGAAGCUGUUAAGCCUGCCGCCUGGGGAGUACGGCCGCAAGGCUGAAACUUAAAGGAAUUGGCGGGGGAGCACCACAAGGGGUGAAGCUUGCGGUUUAAUUGGAUUCAACGCCGGA